rnacentral:lncRNA from 1 species
CAGAACUUAAAUCUUGGUUUCCCGACUUGGUGUCUUCUGGCCCGAGAAGAUUGUUUAAGUUCUCGGCCUCUCUUUGCUCAUCUGAAAAUGAGUAAUUGUCUUUCCCCGCCGUGGGUGUCCUGGGGAUUAUGUUUUUAAUAAGUGUUUCGAGGGAUAGAGUCCAGAUUCAAACAGUUCUCGGUGUGUUGCAAGUGGCCGGUGGACUUCUCGGAAAAUCACCUCUUCUUGAAAAGCUGGGAACUGAGCACACUGUCUUUGAAGGCACUGUCAAGUGUCAGCACUUGCUAGAUUGGAUUGUGCUGUCCUAAGAUCUUCCCAGGGUGCAUUUAGGAAGCUGGCAGGGAACCUGGAAGCACGAGGAGAUUCACGGCCUUGGAAGUCAGAUGACCGAAGUUCUCAACAGGGUCUGGGGAGAAAUCCAUCGUUCCAGGUCCUUCUGUGUCACAUUCUGGUGACUUGCUUUUUCAAUGCCGUGUAGUCAAACAGAGACACAGCAAAAAAAUUAGUUAGGCAACUCAUUUCUAUUAUUAUUUUAGAGAGGCUUUAUGAAUGGACUAGGCCUUUACUAAGUUGAAUUGCUUUGAAAAUAGUACAGUCAGGACUAGGGUUGUAGCUCAGUGGUAGACAGGUUUAAGA